AAAAAAAAAAAAUCCUUUUCCAUUUACCUCUCUAUAUGCUAUAAAGCUCAUUUUUCUCUUUAACCACAUAUCUUAUUUGUAAUGAAGUAAAUUAUCAGGCCUUUAAUGUUGGCAUUAUGAGGUGUGUGUGUGUGACAGUAAGAUUUUUCUAAAGACAUCAACCAGAUGUCUUUAAAGAAGAAAAAAACACAAUUUCUCAAUUUCUUGCAAAACAUGAAGAAAGGUAUUUGAAGCUACUGACAAAACACAGCAUAUUCUGAAGCUGCUUAAAUGAUCAGCAGAAUAGUUUCUACUGAAAUUGGCUUCUGUCAGAAAUAUGCUUUCAGCCUUCAUCCACUAAGCUAAGAAUUAUUGCUGCUUAGACUGUCAGUUUUGAAGAUCUCAUUUCUCUGAAACUUGAAGCGUGUCUCUGAAUAGUAAGGAAUGGUCUCAUAGUGGGUUGGUGUUUAUAUACUAUUUAAUAUUAUUUUUCAGUUUCCUGUUUUUGACACACUUGUGAGUUCACUGUGAAGAUGGGGAUUCUCUGUUAAAUUCUAGAAAGAAGUACUUAAAAUUAAAUGGAAAAAAAACCCCACAGUUAUUUAUAGUUUUCUGUUAUAUCCCUGCAAUGAAAUGUGAGCACAGUAGACAAUGACAUCCCCGACAAGCAAAGGUUUUUUUCCAGCUAGGAUAAACUUUUUUGAAUGAUGCUAUCCACAGCUUCAAUAUUAUUUCAGUUUAUCACAAACCACGGUAUUGUUUUUAUUUUUAUUACCAAAUCGUGAUGUAAAUUUGUUGUAGUAAGAAUCUAAGGCUGGAACUGAGCCUACAGACCCUUUUUCAAGUGAGAAAGUUAUGAGAACCUGAACCCUAAUUCUGCAGAUCUGGUAGGAAAAUGGAUGCACUUCAACCACAACGCCUCUGGCAGGCUAAAAUUUAGUUUUGUAGUUCAUUAUACAGUUAAAAAAGGGGGGGGGGGAGGGACACCUUGAAUAGACUAGAAAAAACCAUGAGUACCUGAUUUUACAUCUUCUGUACUGAAUUUCAGUGUAUUUUCCUCUUUUUACAAAAGGAGAUAAAAAACAUUGGCUAAUGCUCUGAAGACAAUCGGUGUAUAACUGAUAUACACUUAUCUGCAGAAAAUUUUUCUGGUGCUUAUUUAUCUAAACAAUCUCUCCUCACAGAAAUUUAUUUUUAUUCAGUAUUUCAUGCAAAGAAAGGACACUGGUUCUUCAGGAUGGGUAAGAGAAAUUGAACAAAUGCCGUUAUGUUUGUUAAGAAUAAAAACCCUGUUUUAUGUUGGCCUGGUUUCCUGAGCUUAAUGUUGUGCCUUCAGACAAUAGUCGGAAGGAGACUCACAGAGGGUUGGAGUUUUCAGUGUGUUGGUCUUUCUGAUUUGAACUCUGUUUUGUCAAUGUUUUCGUGGUCCUGAAAAACAGGGGGAGGUAUAAAUUAUAGUUUAUUACUUUGUCCACGCCAUUUGCCACUUUAAUUUUGUAACGUUUACAGAUGCUGCAGAGAGGGUAUACCUGCAAGAUAUUUAAUGGCAUUGCAUCAUCUCAUCAAAACAAUUAGAUGAUGUAUGACCACCUCUGUAACUUUUUGCUAUUAUUACUUAAGCACAGGACUUGACUAAGAGAAUUACUGAUUUUCUUUGUGUGAAUAAGGAAGAAAACUAAAGAUGAACAUAUUCUGUUCUGAUUUUUCACUUGCUGCUUUGGUUAAUCAUAGAGGCGGUGACUCUGGCACACAAUCAAAUCUCAGGCAAUGGCUGCUAGACCAGUGACACAUUUGACAUUUAGCAGAGGAAGAAGUCUGAAAAGUUAGCUAUCUGAACUGCUGCCCUGGGAACUUUCCAACACUUUGACUCAUCUGUCUUUUCCAUCAGGCAUUUGUGUGACUCUUGUUCCUAUGUACCUCAGAGAAGUGCAAAGGAACAUAGAUUCUAACAAGAUGCAAAAAGAUGCUCAGCCAAGAAGAGAUCUAAUUAAAAACUCACUGUGAAUAUGUCAGCAGUUUCUUGAAUUGCUCCCAAUCUUUCUUGUUGUGGAUGCAAAAUAAGAUUUAUAAACGAAGCCAAGGAGUGCUUAGAUAAACUGAAUAAUCUGGGGUCACCAUACUGGAAAAAAAAGAAGUAAAUAUUGCAAAAAGAAAACCAAACCUUUGCAGAUCAACUGAUGAAGCUAGAAAGUAAAACAGAAAUGUUUUCAAAAUCCUGCAGUUUUGGAUAAAGAAAAGGAUGAGAGAAGUAGGAGGAGGAAAAGGAGGUCCUGGAAGUUGGCACUAUAAAAAUAUGCCUCAGAACAUUGAAGAAUAUACAUAUUCCUCUCUCUGUGAAUCUUCCUUUGACAAAAUAGGCUGAAUACUGGAUGAGGUGAGCGAAUUGAAAAGCCGUAACUUUUUCAGUGAGUGCUGAUUAAAUCUGCUUACUGCUAAAGCACCAUAUACUCAGCUUCCAAUUUGCUUUUUAUACUGAAGAGCCAGCCCAUCUGGCACGCUCAAAGCUACAUCUGGAGAAACUUUUAUUCAAAGAAAUUCCAUAUAGCUAUGCUAGAAACCACCCCUGCAGCUGCUGUUAUAAUGCAGAAUGAACAUUUAAAAUAGACUACAAAAAAGCCUAUGCUGAGUGACUAUUGGUUUCAUUUUUUGAAUUCUGAAUCAGGCAACAUUUGUGGCUUGCAAUCAGUUCUAAUAGUUUCGUCUUAUUGUUAGAUGUUGCUAUGAGAAACAUCAGACCACUUACUUCAAAGGAAUAAUUUGAACAAUCCUUGCUAAAAAAAUUUUCUCUAAAAAAUUCUCAAACUCAACAAAUUUGUUCCAAUUAGACCAAUCACAGCACACUACUGUGUAGAAUAGCAGAAUUUUCCUGCAGAAAGAAAAGAUCAGCUGCUGAGCAAUAUGUGAAAAAAAAUAUGGUAAUCUGUGUUCUAUUAUUAUUAUUAUUAUUAUUUUUACUGAAGCAAGCCAUGAUGUCUGUUAGGCUGCUAUAGACAUUCUUGAAAUAAAGUCAAUAACUGUACUUUCAUAAAAUCAAAAAAGCUACUUCCAUUCUUUUUUCAAGGAAAUGUUUGUAACAAGUGAUUGUUACUUCAGAUGCUCAAUUUAUCAAAGUAUGUGUGGUAGGGUGGCUAGCAGGCUAAUUUCUUUCUUCCUUUUAAAGAAGAAAAAUUAAAAAAAAUAAAUAAAAUACAGAUUAUUAUAGUAAUUCCUUAAGGGGAUAUGUGACAGUCUGAUUCUACUUUUACUUUGAUAACCAACUCUACAUCUUACCUUGCUCCAUGGUUCAAAUAAGAGUGAACAGCAUUAAAAUGGGUUAAACUGGUGUUUUGAAGUCUUAUUUGGAGAAGUGCUGUUUAUUUUCUGUGACACCAAAUAUGGUUUUGAUGACUUCUAGUUGAAAAUAGAUUAAACCUCAUUUGAGGCAUGGGAAUACAUUUUUACUGUACAUUUUUACCAGGAGGAAAAAGAAAAACAAGUAAAACUUGUUUUGCUAGCAUUCCUGUGUGAUUCUAACUCUGUCAUAACUAAAGUUAAACACAGUGUUCUGUAACAAAUGCAUUAGUUUUCCUUUUUUCUGGAAACUUAAAAAGAACAUGCUCUUUAUUCAAAUCACCCCACUGAGUUGCUAAAUUAAAGUAGAAUUACUUCACCAGUUGCUGGCAGGCCAUUCAAUAUAAUGAUGGUUUACUGACCUCUCAUCCUGACACAAAUACUUUCCAGCUUUAGUGAGGAAAAAACAAAACCAGACAAGCCAAGAAAAAAAAAAAAAGAACAGGCAAUAUGAUAUGAUUUUCAAAGUCUGCCUAAUAGUUGGGCCUUGAUUCUACAUCAUUAAAGAGAAAGCUGAAUAUUAAUUUAAUUCAAGAGAUAAUAGAACCCUUAGCAGUGCAAACUGGUGGCCCCCUUUUAGGAUUUUUUUCAAAAGAGAAAGACAUUAUUUUUUGAAAGCAAGCAGCAAAAAUUCUCUUUCUGUGCCUUGAAGCAGAGCAAAUAUUCUAUGACAUCAUAAAUAAAACACUUCCUGCCAGCAAAAGCAGAGGAGAGGAAUCUCCGAUUAUUGGUGCCCGUGAAACACCUGCCAAAUUCCUAAGAGUGUAGGAGGGCUCAGGCAGUUGCACAAAACUGCCUUAUCCGAAUCCUUCUGAAAACAGUGCAGGUCCUGCCAUUGCCUUCCAUGAGCUUUAGUUUAGUACUGUAAUCAUUAUCCUUAGAUGUAAUCCAAACAUGUUUGCCAGAGUUUUUGUCUGUAAAGUUUUUUGUUCAUUUUGUUAAUAUUUGCAACCUCCAGCACGUAAAGUGUAACAAAGAUCUCUGUUAAUAAUGGUAAAAGAAAGAACUUGUGGCUAACAAAGCAAAUAUAAUUUUAUGAAAAUUUUCCACAAUGGAAAUGCCCCUUCUAGCACAUCAAAAACCUGCACAACGUAUUCAAGACCCUUCUCUUGUUCAUGGCAAUAGCUCAGUGUAUCUGAGGUAACCCAUUGCCUUCAACUUGCAUCAGCAUGAGAUUGCUCAUAGCACCAAAACAUGAGCGAACCAGUAACGAAGCAACACAAAUAUAGUGUUUACAUAUCGCGUAGGAAAGAAUAAUAAUCACAGAAUCAUAAUUGUACUUGAUUUCAGUAUCAAUUAUGCAAUUCACCUAAUUUGGUCAAAGGAAGACCAAAUUAUUGCAUAUGUUCCUCUUUAUUUUUUCUGUCUGUAUCACUAUUCAUGGCUAACUGGGUGGAAAAUUACAGUAUUUUUAUGGAAAUGCUAUAGAAAAAAAAUACAUAGAUACUCACUGAUACUGGUCUACUGUGCUGAUGUGCAAAGGUGGUCAAGCUGUUGUAAUGAUCUCUGUCUUUUUUGUUUUGAGGCUGUAAGAAACAAUCAGGAAUGAUUCUCAGUUUUGAAGACUUAUUCUCCUUAUUAUAUACCUUCAUCUUCCAUGAAAAAAUUCUGAAAGUAUUUUCCAGGCAUUCAAACAAAAACUAAAUGCAGUCUAUUGAAUUAUAUAAAACUGAUUCCAUUAAUUAUUAUCUAAGAUAUCACAGGAUUUAAUUAUAAUGCUGAGAUUUUUUUAAAUGCAGCUUUUCAACAAAUUUUGGUUAAAAAAAAUUCCAUUCCUAAUCAUUUGUUUUUAAAUUUUAUUUUGAAUUCUUUGAUUUGGAUCUGGACUGGAACUGAAUUUUAAAUUCAUACCUGAACUGUCAAUUCAAAUGCUGCUUUAAGCCAGCUUUACUAGGGGUCUGACUGAGACAUACUGUAGCUCUCUACAAUAGUGAAGGAUAAAGCAGUCUAUUAUCCUUCAGUAUAAAUAGUUUAAAUUACUUAUUUCAUUAAGAAAAAGGGAAGUCUACAGGUUUAGCUUAUAACAAUAAAUCUAUAGAUAGAUAACACUAGGAACAACUUUAGAAUUACUUAUUUAAGAAUUUCUGAAUUUUGAACAUUUUCAUUAUCCAAGAUGGUAAUGCAGAUUUAAGGUAGGAGAUUGAUAGUGAGUGAUCUUGUACACCUUGAAGGAUGUAUAUAUAACUUCUGCAUUUCAUUUGCUGAUUUACAAACAACACUGAAUUAUUAAUGUGUGUACCUCUGACUUCACAUUUUCCUAGCUGAAAACAGAGCAAAGAAACAUUCAACUUGGUCCCGUUCAGAAGUAAAUAAAGUGUUUCUGCCUUCUGUGUUCCUAUUACUAAGAAGCAUUAAAUUUUCUUCUUGACUCAUGAGAGUUACCUAAUAUAUAUAUUCUUGUUUAGAGCAUUAGCUCACUUUCUAAACCCUUGGCAUUUGGGCCAGUCUAUAACUGGUACCUCAGUGGCAGCUAUUUUAAUCUUUCCUAUGAUCACUUGUUCACUACCUGGUUAAUUUAAGGAGCUCUUUCUCUCAUUUUACUCAUGUGAUGCAAGUGGAAGAAGUAUUGCUCCAGGAACUCCUUACCAUUAUCUUAAUUCUGUGAAUGGCAACUCAGCUCAGUGAAGAGAAGCAUAGCUGUGUUCCAAUGCACUCUGUGAUAUUAGUUUGUACAUACAAAUACAUAUAUAAAAAGUCCCUUCCUAAUUUGUUGUACUCAAGCACAUGCUAUUUUAGGCAGACCUAUUUUCAAACCAGGCCUGAGGGAGUUAGUUGUCUAAAUUAAAUUCAGUUUGACUGAUUUGGACAUUGAACAUCUCUGAAAUAAAAUCUUAGUGAUGGACACUGCUAUUCAGCAGUGCAAAUGUUGUUUUGUUUUUAAUAAGAUGAUCAUAUAAUAGAACUGCUAAUACAAAUACAGAAAUUGAAGACUAAGUAAUAAUUUAGGAAAUUAACAUGGAAUAUUUAUACACUGAAAGUGAAAUAGCUCUAAUGUUGUUUUGAGCUUCUUUGAUUUGAAGAUGAUAUAAGCACUUCCAAUAAAAAUAUUAUAGUCUUGUUGAUCUCAAUAUAUACAUAUUUUAUUGAGUGACAAACAAGUUUUUCAUCAAAGAUGGUUCUCUCAUGAAAGAGAGUUUAUAUUUUUAAUGCUUGAAUUUUGAUGGUAGAGAUUAUAUGUUGAAAACCAAUAGCAUUGAACAUGAUCCAUGUUAGACUUCUGGUCAUUGCUCAGACUGGUAUUAUACAGCAAUGUUUCUGGACAGAAGUGUGAAAAGUAGGCUGCGAGCAAGAAUUGGGGGGUCUAUUCCCAAAUUCUCACUUAUUUAUUAUAAACAGUUGAGCAAAAUGACAUGAGCAUUCUGAAUCCAAGUUGAGUCAUCUCUCAAAUGAGUUUAAAAAAAAAAAGCCAACAGGAUAAUGAAGCACAGUAGUGCUUAUGAACUCUUUUGGGAUUGUCAUGUUAAAGGUGCCAUAAAAUUGUACUAUUACAUUUUAUAUAAUAAGUUAUAGGGUAAGUACUAAUGUGCUUUACAUAGCAUUAGGGAUGACAUAUAUAAACAUAAACUAUAAAAUCAGAAAGUUUGCAGCAAAUAGAACUGAUUCCAAAAUAACUGAACUGUUGAAUAUCAGUACUAUUAUCAUCACUGAACUGACAAUUGCAGCCUGAGGAAGAUGGCAGAGUUAAAUAAAUGUCUCUCUGCCUGCUGCCUGCUAUGUUAUGCAGAGUCUGUUUUCAAAUGCUCUUUAAAGAACACAGUCUGGAAGGGGCUCAAGCAUUGAAAAGCAAAGAGGGAAACAAUUCCAAACAAGGCUGCCUGUGUGCCGCUCUGUUUCUGGUAUCUCCCUUUGAAGGUUUACACUGAAGUACUCUUUGUCUCACAGGCUACUUCAGAUGAAUAUCAUUUAUGGAAAGAGCUAUAAACAAAAGGCAAAUGUCUUGAAUGCUUUUCAGCGCUGAGGAGAAGUGUUAUUACGAAAGACUGACACUGCCCACCCUGGCAAGGCCAGCCCAGCUCAGGUUAUCAUUAUAUUUCAGACCAGAAUAUUAGAAAAUAACUACAAGAUUGUCAUCUUUAUACAAAUCCGUUGUGCAUCCAAAAAAUCAAUACUGAAAAAAAGUCAAAAUCUCUGUAAUACCACUCUUUCAACAGUCUAAAUCCAUCCAGAACAGUUACCCAAAACAGCAUGUAAAACUUGGAAUUGAGAGAAAAUGUACAUUUGAAAGGGUUAGGGAAAAUAACCACUUGUGAUCUGUAUGUCCUUGAUGUAUUAGAAUGUGUACUACAAAUAGUCAAAGUGAUAACAUGAGAACCUUGAAAAGUGACCUCAAAAUUGGCAUCUAUGCCCUUCACGCAUGCAGGCCAAACAGUCACACAUGUAUAAGUGCUAGAACAUCCUUUGAAAUGAAUUGAAAUAUAAGGUGGGUGAAAUUGCCAGCAUGUUCUACCUAGAUGUGCACUGUUAAUUUUCUCUUACUUCAAGAGAAUUAAAACUGCAUAAGCCCUGGAAGUUCUGGGAGCUGGUUUUCCUGUGUGAUCCUUUCUCAUCAGCAAUGUUAAUUGUGAAAAUCAGGACCCUCCUUUUAAUGUCAUCUGCAACUGUCUUUUGGAAAAGACAAUAAAAGUCUUUAAGAAAGUUGCCACCUCUGGGAAUGGUUG
ensembl:lncRNA